GGGUAGAAGAAUUUCAAAAAAAUCAAGGAUAUUAGAGGCAAAAGGGUGGAAAGGCAACAAAAAUCUACUUGGAGAGUCUCCUCAUACAGAGCGACUCAACCCUUCUGAGCAUUUGAAACACAAUCUUCUCGGCUUAGAACUUCGAGCCAGAAAGUAAAAAGAAUAGGAUACAGAGUCUGAAGCCUUCGAAGGUCAACCUUAGUAAUG
rnacentral:lncRNA from 1 species